rnacentral:rRNA from 1 species
UACAGGGGGUGCAAACGUUGCGCGGAAGCAUGGGGCGUAAAGCGCACGUAGGCGGUGAGUUAGGGCGGAUGUGAAAGCCCUUGGCUUAACCGAGGAAGUGCAUCCGAAACUGGCGAGCUAGAGUACGAAAGAGGAUCGCGGAAUUCCCGGUGUAGAGGUGAAAUUCGUAGAUAUCGGGAGGAACACCGGUGGCGAAGGCGGCGAUCUGGGUCGAUACUGACGCUGAGGUGCGAAAGCGUGGGGAGCAAACAGG